AACGAACGCUGGCGGCAUGCCUAACACAUGCAAGUCGAACGAUGCUUUCGGGCAUAGUGGCGCACGGGUGCGUAACGCGUGGGAAUCUGCCCUUGGGUUCGGAAUAACAGUGAGAAAUUGCUGCUAAUACCGGAUGAUGUCUUCGGACCAAAGAUUUAUCGCCCAGGGAUGAGCCCGCGUAGGAUUAGCUAGUUGGUGGGGUAAUGGCCUACCAAGGCGACGAUCCUUAGCUGGUCUGAGAGGAUGAUCAGCCACACUGGGACUGAGACACGGCCCAGACGUGGGCGGGAGGCAGCAGUGGGGAAUAUGGGAGACUGGGCGCAAGCCGGAUACAGCGAUGCGGGGUGAGUGAUGAAGUCUGUAGGUUUGUAAAGCUCUUUUACCUGGGAUGAUAAGGACAGUACGGGGAGAAUAAGCUCCGGCGAACUCCGUGCCAGCAGCCGCGGUAAUAAGCGGAAAGAAACCGUCUGAAC
rnacentral:rRNA from 1 species